rnacentral:ribozyme from 17 species
AAGAAAGAACGAUGAAUAGUAGACCCGAGUGUCUCUGUAUCUUCCAGUCGGUUUUAGUCAGAACUCGCUUUUUCUCGGACUGCAUUCGCUUGAUUUCGAUUUGCAUGGCAGCAUGGCAGAGUGUCACUCAAAAAUGCAUCGGAAUGACAUUCUAUAUAGAUGAUUCUUAACUUUAUAAUUCAUAAAAUUGAAAACCAUGAAAAAAAAA